rnacentral:rRNA from 1 species
AUUGAACGCUGGCGGCAGGCCUAACACAUGCAAGUCGAGCGGGAACUUCGGUUCUAGCGGCGGACGGGUGAGUAAUGCGUAGGAAGCUACCCGACAGAGGGGGAUACCAGUUGGAAACGACUGUUAAUACCGCAUAAUGUCUACGGACCAAAGUGUGGGACCUUCGGGCCACAUGCUGUCGGAUGCGCCUACGUGGGAUUAGCUAGUUGGUGAGGUAAUGGCUCACCAAGGCGACGAUCCCUAGCUGGUUUGAGAGGAUGAUCAGCCACACCGGAACUGAGACACGGUCCAGACUUCUACGGGAGGCAGCAGUGGGGAAUAUUGGACAAUGGGCGAAAGCCUGAUUCAGCCAUGCCGCGUGUGUGAAGAAGGCCUUCGGGUUGUAAAGCACUUUCAGUAGGGAGGAAGAGUUGAGUGUUAAUAGUACUCAGCUUUGACGUUACCUACAGAAGAAGCACCGGCUAACUCUGUGCCAGCCGCCGCCGUAACAC